UACGUAGGGCGCAAGCGUUGUCCGGAAUUAUUGGGCGUAAAGAGCUCGUAGGCGGUCUGUUACGUCCGCUGUGAAAACCCAGGGCUUAACCCUGGGCUUGCAGUGGAUACGGGUAGACUAGAGGCAGGUAGGGGAGAAUGGAAUUCCCGGUGUAGCGGUGAAAUGCGCAGAUAUCAGGAGGAACACCAAUUGCGAAGGCAGCUCGCUGGGACGUUACUGACGCUGAGACGCGAAAGCGUGGGGAGCAAACAGG
rnacentral:rRNA from 1 species